AGUCCUCUUUCAUUUUCUGGGCAUUUAAAGCCUCUUUACUGCUGUAGAUUGCAGCCGUCCCCUGCACCUUCCGAGCAAGGGAUGGCUCUCCUCCUCCACCCAACAAGCGCUUUUCUCUCUCCCCAUCUCAGGUGGAUCUGUAAAUAGCUUUUGGGCUGUGCUUCUUUUUGUUUCUCUUGCAGGUUCAGUGCCAAAUGGUGAGAGAGUCUUCCUCAGUAAUAUGCGAUGUUGUUAAGUCUGGCCAAAGAACUUUAAGUCGACUUGGUUCUUCCUCUAGUUUAGCCCGUGAAAGGAUGCUCUGAUGCUGUAAGGGCUAGCAUCUCAAGAGUCGCAUAGUCAGCUCACUCAUAUGGCCACCCAACCCUUGAAGUUGAAGACGACAUUCGAGCUCCGCCCGUCGAUUCUCCAUGCAUUUGUUUGUAAUGGGUUGAUUCUAUCUCUAGUAGGCCUUGCUUUGAUUUUUGGAAGGAGAUUUUUGGGAUGGUGCUGAGCUCCUUUUCCAUGCAAGAAUCCAACGAUCUCUCCUAGGCAUCAGUGGGGUGGCUGGUGCUAUAGGGGUUGGCUACCUCCUUUGCUUCUUUGUGUUCUUUUAGCUAGGGUUUUGAGUUUCCGAGCCUUUGGGCCGAAUAAUCCGUUAGCUAACUUUGUUGGGCCUCUUUUAACUGAAAACUAGUGAUG
rnacentral:misc_RNA from 1 species